CAGACUCGUUGAUAUCAUAUGACCUGCGAGGAUCUAAGACCACUGAGGAAGGCCGUGAAAGGCCGAAACGUCUGGUCGUUUUCUUCCAUGCUUAUAAUUGUGAAAUAGUGCACCGGAACUCUAAUUAUGUGACGAAAAAAUGUGAAAUUAAAAUUUAUUAGCAAACAUGAAAAA